UACUUCCUUGAGUCCAACAGCAUCUU
rnacentral:piRNA from 2 species